UACGUAGGCAGCAAGCGUUGUUCGGAAUUACUGGGCGUAAAGCGUGCGUAGGUGGUCGUUUAAGUCUGUUGUGAAAGCCCUGGGCUCAACCUGGGAACUGCAGUGGAAACUGGACGACUAGAGUGUGGUAGAGGGUAGCGGAAUUCCCGGUGUAGCAGUGAAAUGCGUAGAGAUCGGGAGGAACAUCCAUGGCGAAGGCAGCUACCUGGACCAACACUGACACUGAGGCACGAAAGCGUGGGGAGCAAACAGG
rnacentral:rRNA from 1 species